GAUGAAGAACGUAGCGAAAUGCGAUAAGUAAUGCGAAUUGCAGAAUCCGUGAGUCAUCGAAUCUUUGAACGCACAUUGCGCCCCUUGGUAUCCCGAGGGGCAUGCCUGUUCGAGCGUCAUUUCACCACUCAAGCCUGGCUUGGUGUUGGGCGACGUCCUCUUUGGGGACGCGCCUCGAAACGCUCGGCGGCGUGGCACCGGCUUUAAGCGUAGCAGAAUCUUUCGCUUUGGAAGUCGGGGCCCCGUCUGCCGGAAGACCUGCUCGCAAGGUUGACCUCGGAUCAGGCAGGGAUACCCGCUGAACUUAAGCAUAUCAAUAAGCGGAGGA
rnacentral:misc_RNA from 1 species